rnacentral:piRNA from 1 species
UAACAGAGCAAGCCCAGGAUGCUGUUUGG